ACGAACGCUGGCGGCAUGCCUAACACAUGCAAGUCGAACGAGACCUUCGGGUCUAGUGGCGCACGGGUGCGUAACGCGUGGGAACCUGCCCUUAGGUUCGGAAUAACUCCCCGAAAGGGGUGCUCAUACCGGAUAAUGUCUUCGGACCAAAGAUUUAUCGCCUUUGGAUGGGCCCGCGUUGGAUUAGCUAGUUGGUAGGGUAAAAGCCUACCAAGGCGACGAUCCAUAGCUGGUCUGAGAGGAUGAUCAGCCACACUGGGACUGAGACACGGCCCAGACUCCUACGGGAGGCAGCAGUGGGGAAUAUUGGACAAUGGGCGAAAGCCUGAUGCAGCAAUGCCGCGUGAGUGAUGAAGGCCUUAGGGUUGUAAAGCUCUUUUACCCGGGAUGAUAAUGACAGUACCGGAAGAAUAAGCUCCGGCUAACUCCGUG
rnacentral:rRNA from 1 species